rnacentral:rRNA from 1 species
AAACUUACCAGGUCAAGACAUGGGCGUGAUUGACAGGCUAAUGACUUUUCUCGAUUCCAUGGAUGGUGGUGCAUGGUCGCACUUAGUUGGUGCAGUGAUUUGUCAGGUUUAUUCCGGUAACGAACGAGACCUCGGCCUUGUAAAUAGCUAUGCUGCUUACAGGGACAUUGGCGGCUACGCCAAGGAAGCUCGAGGCAAUUGCAGAUCUGGAAUGCCCUUAGAUGUCCUGGGUCGCACGCGUGCUACAAUGACGCCACGAACGAGCUUGCGUGAUGAAAGUUACGCAUAAUCAGCAGUCGGCGUCUUAAGGGAUAGUCUCUUGUAACUGUGGGACUCCAACUAGGAAUGUCUCGUAAGCACAAGUCAACAUCUUGUGUUGAUUACGUCCCUGCUCUUUGUACACACCGCCCGUCGCUCCUACCGAUCGAGUGUUUAGGUGAAUUUGAUGGACGUAAGGAAGUCAAAUAAACCUGAGCACUAGAGAAGAGAAGUCGUACAUC